UACGUAGGGGGCAAGCGUUGUUCGGAAUUACUGGGCGUAAAGCGCGCGUAGGCGGUUUGAAAAGUCAGAUGUGAAAGCCCCGGGCUCAACUUGGGAACUGCAUUUGAUACUGUCAGACUAGAGUACAGAAGAGGUGACUGGAAUUCCCAGUGUAGCGGUGAAAUGCGUAGAUAUUGGGAGGAACACCAGAUGCGAAGGCGGGUCACUGGGCUGAUACUGACGCUGAAGUGCGAAAGCCAGGGGAGCGAACGGG
rnacentral:rRNA from 2 species